ACAUUGCUAAUGAAAAACACUCUUCCAUAGUACUACAACACCAAGAAUGGAGAGUACUUGAACAUGAAUAAGGAGCGUUUCAGACACGAGACAGAUUACUUGGAGAUGUUGGCAUCACCUGACAUCAGACACAUCACCAGAGAUGAAGUGUCGCAAAGUGAGGACGGCGAACAUGGGACAGGAAAAACGAACCAUGACCUUCAGAUGCAUACUGAAAGCACCACAUCUGAUCCAGACCAGGGGACAGGAUACCUUCCUAUGUCAUCAGGCACACGCUCCCCUAGGUCUUUCUUCGAUAUAUUCAGCCCCAAAAGAACUUCAGAGAAUUUUAUGUAAGCAGAACCCUUGGAACAAGAAUAGCUCUAAAAAUUAUCAGAAUUAAGGUUCACUUUUGAGGAGGAAGCUCAAAGUAAAAACUCGAAUACCGGUCGACAGUCUUGCCCACACAGAGGAAUCCCUUUACAUCAAGAUAAGCUGCCAUCAACCAAGAGCCUUGGGCGAUAUUUUAUAUUGAGCCCCAACAGUUCCCUAAGACAUAAAACUGUCUACGUCCAUAGUCCUCAGCACUAGCAGACAACUACAAGACUCCUCAUGGCCUUUUAGUCAAGGAACCAAUUAUGUGAACAUGCACCAGAUAACACCUCUUCACCUCCUCCUUCCCCAUUGUUA